rnacentral:tRNA from 1 species
ACCAGUGUGGCGUAGCGGUUUGAGUGCUGGACUAUGACUCUGGAGACCAGGGUGCGAUUCUCAGCUCAGCCA